rnacentral:rRNA from 1 species
CGACGGGGGCCCGCACAAGCGGUGGAGUAUGUGGUUUAAUUCGAUGCAACGCGAAGAACCUUACCUGGUCUUGACAUCCCGGAAAUCCCUUGGAAACUUGGGAGUGCUUCCAUUAGGAAGAAUCCGGAGACAGGUGCUGCAUGGCUGUCGUCAGCUCGUGUCGUGAGAUGUUGGGUUAAGUCCCGCAACGAGCGCAACCCUUGCCUUUAGUUGCCAGCAGUUCGGCUGGGCACUCUAAAGGGACUGCCGGUGUCAAACCGGAGGAAGGUGGGGAUGACGUCAAGUCCUCAUGGCCUUUAUGACCAGGGCUACACACGUACUACAAUGGCCGAUACAAAGGGCAGCGACAUCGCGAGGUGAAGCCAAUCCCAUAAAAUCGGUCUCAGUCCGGAUUGGAGUCUGCAACUCGACUCCAUGAAGUUGGAAUCGCUAGUAAUCGUGGAUCAGCAUGCCACGGUGAAUACGUUCCCGGGCCUU